rnacentral:rRNA from 1 species
UGAGUAACACGUGGGUAACCUGCCUGUAAGACUGGGAUAACUCCGGGAAACCGGAGCUAAUACCGGAUAGUUCCUUGAACCGCAUGGUUCAAGGAUGAAAGACGGUUUCGGCUGUCACUUACAGAUGGACCCGCGGCCCAUUAGCUAGUUGGUGGGGUAAUGGCUCACCAAGGCGACGAUGCGUAGCCGACCUGAGAGGGUGAUCGGCCACACUGGGACUGAGACACGGCCCAGACUCCUACGGGAGGCAGCAGUAGGGAAUCUUCCGCAAUGGACGAAAGUCUGACGGAGCAACGCCGCGUGAGUGAUGAAGGUUUUCGGAUCGUAAAGCUCUGUUGUUAGGGAAGAACAAGUGCGAGAGUAACUGCUCGCACCUUGACGGUACCUAACCAGAAAGCCACGGCUAACUACGUGCCAGCAGCCGCGGUAAUACGUAGGUGGCAAGCGUUGUCCGGAAUUAUUGGGCGUAAAGGGCUCGCAGGCGGUUUCUUAAGUCUGAUGUGAAAGCCCCCGGCUCAACCGGGGAGGGUCAUUGGAAACUGGGAAACUUGAGUGCAGAAGAGGAGAGUGGAAUUCCACGUGUAGCGGUGAAAUGCGUAGAGAUGUGGAGGAACACCAGUGGCGAAGGCGACUCUCUGGUCUGUAACUGACGCUGAGGAGCGAAAGCGUGGGGAGCGAACAGGAUUAGAUACCCUGGUAGUCCACGCCGUAAACGAUGAGUGCUAAGUGUUAGGGGGUUUCCGCCCCUUAGUGCUGCAGCUAACGCAUUAAGCACUCCGCCUGGGGAGUACGGUCGCAAGACUGAAACUCAAAGGAAUUGACGGGGGCCCGCACAAGCGGUGGAGCAUGUGGUUUAAUUCGAAGCAACGCGAAGAACCUUACCAGGUCUUGACAUCCUCUGACAACCCUAGAGAUAGGGCUUUCCCUUCGGGGACAGAGUGACAGGUGGUGCAUGGUUGUCGUCAGCUCGUGUCGUGAGAUGUUGGGUUAAGUCCCGCAACGAGCGCAACCCUUGAUCUUAGUUGCCAGCAUUCAGUUGGGCACUCUAAGGUGACUGCCGGUGACAAACCGGAGGAAGGUGGGGAUGACGUCAAAUCAUCAUGCCCCUUAUGACCUGGGCUACACACGUGCUACAAUGGACAGAACAAAGGGCUGCAAGACCGCAAGGUUUAGCCAAUCCCAUAAAUCUGUUCUCAGUUCGGAUCGCAGUCUGCAACUCGACUGCGUGAAGCUGGAAUCGCUAGUAAUCGCGGAUCACAUGCCCGGGGGGAAAUCCGUUCCCGGGGCCUUGUACACACCGCCCGUCACACCACGAGAGUUUGCAACACCCGAAGUCGGUGAGGUAACCUUUAUGGAGCCAGCCGCCGAAGGUGGGGCAGAUGAUUGGGGUGA